rnacentral:lncRNA from 1 species
CCAGAGUUAUUUGAGGGACCGACCUUAGAGUUGGGUAAAGAGGGUUUAGCCCUUGAGUCAGGUGCUUCUAAAGAGGAGCCUACAGUGGCUGCCACUACAUCUGUCACACCACCUACUAGCAUUCGUAUCGGAGUCCCACACCCGUGGUCUUCGGGCAUGGUUACUAUCAUUGCGGAAUUCCUACAUGAGUUAGUCCAGCACCAAACGUAGAUCGAGAUGCAGUUAACACAGUUGAUCCAACCGGUGAAGCCAUGGAUUAGAACCUCUAUUACUCGGGCUGAGGAGCGAGUGGCUAUGAAAAUGUAGUCAAUAAUUCGCGGG